UGCGUAGGCGGAUGUGCAGGCGUCGUGUGAAAGCCCUCGGCUCAACCGGGGAAUUGCACGGCGAACCGCAUGUCUUGAGACAAGUAGAGGCGGUCGGAACGAUAGGUGGAGUGGUGAAAUGCGUUGAUAUCUAUCGGAACGCCAAAGGUGAAGACAGACCGCUGGGCUUGUUCUGACGCUGAGGCACGAAAGCGUGGGGAGCAAACGGGAUUAGAUACCCCGGUAGUCCACGCCCUAAACAAUGUGCACUAGAUCGCGGGAGGUAUUGACGCCUUUCUCGGUCGAAGUAAAAACGUUGAGUGCACCGCCUGGGGAGUACGGUCGCAAGGCUAAA
rnacentral:rRNA from 1 species